rnacentral:rRNA from 1 species
UGAGGAAUAUUGGUCAAUGGGCGAGAGCCUGAACCAGCCAAGUAGCGUGCAGGAUGACGGCCCUAUGGGUUGUAAACUGCUUUUGUAUGGGGAUAAAGUCAAUCACGUGUGAUUGUUUGCAGGUACCAUACGAAUAAGGACCGGCUAAUUCCGUGCCAGCAGCCGCGGUAAUACGGAAGGUCCGGGCGUUAUCCGGAUUUAUUGGGUUUAAAGGGAGCGUAGGCUGGAGAUUAAGUGUGUUGUGAAAUGUAGACGCUCAACGUCUGACUUGCAGCGCAUACUGGUUUCCUUGAGUACGCACAACGUUGGCGGAAUUCGUCGUGUAGCGGUGAAAUGCUUAGAUAUGACGAAGAACUCCGGUUGCGAAGGCAGCUGACGGGAGCGCAACUGACGCUGAAGCUCGAAGGUGCGGGUAUCGAACAGGAUUAGAUACCCUGGUAGUCCGCACAGUAAACGAUGGAUGCCCGCUGUUGGUACCUGGUAUCAGCGGCUAAGCGAAAGCAUUAAGCAUCCCACCUGGGGAGUACGCCGGCAACGGUG